rnacentral:rRNA from 1 species
UACGUAGGGGGCAGGCGUUGUCCGGAUUUAUUGGGCGUAAAGAGCGUGUAGGCGGCCAGAUAGGUCCGUUGUGAAAACUCGAGGCUCAACCUCGAGACGCCGAUGGAAACCAUUUGGCUAGAGUCCGGAAGAGGAGAGUGGAAUUCCCGGUGUAGCGGUGAAAUGCGCAGAUAUCGGGAAGAACACCCGUGGCUAAGGCGGCUCUCUAGUACGGUACUGACGCUGAGACGCGAAAGCGUGGGGAGCGAACAGG